rnacentral:rRNA from 1 species
GACGAACGCUGGCGGCGUGCUUAACACAUGCAAGUCGAACGGAAAGGCCCCUUUGGGGGUACUCGAGUGGCGAACGGGUGAGUAACACGUGAGUAACCUGCCCUUGACUUCGGGAUAACUUCAGGAAACUGGGGCUAAUACUGGAUAGGAAUCCUUGCUGCAUGGUGGGGGUUGGAAAGCUUCGGCGGUUUUGGAUGGACUCGCGGCUUAUCAGCUUGUUGGUGGGGUAGUGGCUUACCAAGGCUUUGACGGGUAGCCGGCCUGAGAGGGCGACCGGCCACAGUGGGACUGAGAUACGGCCCAGACUCCUACGGGAGGCAGCAGGGGGGAAUAUUGCACAAUGGGCGGAAGCCUGAUGCAGCAACGCCGCGUGCGGGAUGACGGCCUUCGGGUUGUAAACCGCUUUCAGCAGGGGCGAAGCUUGUGGUGACGGUACCUGCAGAAGAAGCACCGGCUAACUACGUG